CCAGCUCGAUGGCAGCAAACCACUCAUUGUUCAGCUCUGCUCGCUCUGGUGGGGCUGCAGCUCUUGGAAAAGAUCAAGGAUGUAAGGAGGCUGUAGCAGAACAGCUUUCUGAAGAAAAGCAAAACAACUGCACAAAACAGGAAUGCCUCUAUUAUGUUCCCAGCAAUCUGGUAGCCAUCAACACCUUGCUGAUAAACUGGAAAUCUUCACCUUCUUCCAUCCUCACCUCUCAAAUGACCCAUGAAAGAGUCUUGGAGAUCAAAGAAAUCCUCUUCCAUCCUUAUCCUUCUGAAAGAGAGACUGAUGGGAUUUAGCACCGAUCUGAAGAACAAAGAAGGAACGACCUUUUGUCUGCUGCUGUCAUUCCCUGCUUCACCAUUUUAAGGUGAUGCCCGUUAUUGUUUGUGUUCUGAGAAGCAGAGUACAGCUGUGAGAAGAUGGGAGCCCCAGAGCAGAGCUCUGUGCCAGCUCUGUGCCCCGGAGCAGGGCUUGCUGCCACCUGCAACCACCACAGCCCUAAUUUCUCCCCUGGAGCUGGCUGCAGCCAACAGGCUGUGUGUUUGGCUGUGAGUCCCUGUCCCAAAUGCCCCCCACCCUGCUAUGGUGCUAUUAUUUAUUCCUUUCCUGAGAGCCUUAAUGAAAGGAAUACAUUCCAACAGCUGGGAUUUUUUUUAAGGAAGCUGAGUGCCCACAGAUCACCUCUUCAGCUAGGCAGGGGUGUACUCAUCCUCUGCGGAGCACCCCUCAUCUUUUAAAGAGAGAGAGUAAUGUUGGACUGAGUUGAGAAAUGUGAAAGCAACAGCAGUUAUGCCCAGCUGAGCUUGUUAUAUUUUAUGGUUCCCAUCCUCAACAGAUGGCAAUGGCUUCUGUUGCUCUUACUGUCCAUGGGAAGCCAGUGUUUGGAAGUACACUCCCAAGACUUCUAUUUGGUUUUUGUCUGUUAGAGUCUUUGGUAGGUAGGAUUUUAGGGGUUUUUGUUUGGUUGUUUGUUUUUGGUUUGUUUGGGGGCUGGGGGGGAGGGUAUUGGUUUUGAUUUUUUGGUUUUUCUGUUAUUGUUGGUUGGUUGUUGGGGUUUUUUCAACUGUUUUCCUCCACAAUUCACUUUGGGCUCACCUAUUUUCACACUGCCGUCACCCCUUUUGCUUUCUAGCACCACACUAACACAACACAGACCCAAAGGAUGUUUUCUUCCUGGCAGGAUGCUUCCCAUGCCCAUUGAAUGCAUUCAAUAGGAACACUUUGCUCUCUCUUUUCUACCACAGAAGAGUGUUGUUACUUCUGUGCUACUCACAUAAUUGAAACUGGCCAGUCCAUCAUACUUAAACUGCCCAAGUUUGAUUUCUUGACUGUUUUCAGAUCCUAGGAUGACUGAUCUUCCUCUCUGCUUGACAGAGAAAGUUCAUCCACAAAGUACUAAAUAAAUACUUUUCAACAAAAAGUUUAUUCA